rnacentral:rRNA from 1 species
GACGAACGCUGGCGGCGUGCUUAACACAUGCAAGUCGAACGGAAAGGCCCUGCUUUUGUGGGGUGCUCGAGUGGCGAACGGGUGAGUAACACGUGAGUAACCUGCCCUUGACUUUGGGAUAACUUCAGGAAACUGGGGCUAAUACCGGAUAGGAGCUCCUGCUGCAUGGUGGGGGUUGGAAAGUUUCGGCGGUUGGGGAUGGACUCGCGGCUUAUCAGCUUGUUGGUGGGGUAGUGGCUUACCAAGGCUUUGACGGGUAGCCGGCCUGAGAGGGUGACCGGGCACAUUGGGACUGAGAGACGGCCCAGACGCCUACGGGAGGCAGCAGUGGGGAAUAUUGCACAAUGGGGGGAAGCCUGAUGCAGCAACGCCGCGUGCGGGAUGACGGCCUUCGGGUUGUAAACCGCUUUCGCCUGUGACGAAGCGUGAGUGACGGUAAUGGGUAAAGAAGCACCGGCUAACUACGUG